GACGUAGGGCGCGAGCGUUGUCCGGAUUUAUUGGGCGUAAAGAGCUUGUAGGCGGUUUGUCGCGUCUGCCGUGAAAAUCCGAGGCUCAACCUCGGACUUGCGGUGGGUACGGGCAGACUAGAGUGUGGUAGGGGAGACUGGAAUUCCUGGUGUAGCGGUGAAAUGCGCAGAUAUCAGGAGGAACACCUGAAGUGAAGACGGGUUGCUGGGCCGACACUGACGCUGAUAGCGCGAAAGCCAGGGGAGCAAACGGG
rnacentral:rRNA from 1 species